rnacentral:tRNA from 1 species
CGGGUUGUAGGGAAGCGGCCAUCCCUCCUGGUUUGGGUCCAGGCGAUCGCGGGUUCGAGUCCCGCCAACCCGACGA